rnacentral:rRNA from 1 species
UACGAAGGGGGCUAGCGUUGCUCGGAAUCACUGGGCGUAAAGGGCGCGUAGGCGGAUCUUUAAGUCAGGGGUGAAAGCCCAAGGCUCAACCUUGGAACUGCCUUUGAUACUGUUUGGCUUGAGACCGGUAGAGGUAAGUGGAACUGCGAGUGUAGAGGUGAAAUUCGUAGAUAUUCGCAAGAACACCAGUGGCGAAGGCGGCUUACUGGACCGGUUCUGACGCUGAGGCGCGAAAGCGUGGGGAGCAAACAGG